rnacentral:rRNA from 1 species
UACGAAGGGGGCUAGCGUUGUUCGGAAUUACUGGGCAUAAAGCGCGCGCAGGCGGCUAUCCAAGUCAGUGGUGAAAGCCCGGAGCUCAACUCCGGAACUGCCAUUGAAACUGUUUAGCUUGAGGAUGAGAGAGGUGAGUGGAAUUCCCAGUGUAGAGGUGAAAUUCGUAGAUAUUGGGAAGAACACCGGUGGCGAAGGCGGCUCACUGGCUCAUUACUGACGCUCAGGCGCGAUAGCGUGGGGAUCAAACAGG